GGAAUAAAAAAUGGCAAUCGGAUAGUACCAGCGGCAGGUCAAGUUUACCAUCCGUCUUUCAGCGGGACUGAGAUGGCAACACAGUUAUUUAGUUUCAGUGUUGAUGUGCGUUGCAAUAAACUCCAUCAUUUCACCUGUUUAUGAACCCGGCCUUGUAUGAGAUCUCUGUGAAUUCAAACAAAGCUGGCAAUCAACCCUCUUGUUUCCAGCAGAAUGGGGGAUUAUGGACUUUAAAGAUAAAUAAAUAAAUAAAGCAUCCUUGUAUCUCCCCUGUCUUCACAUGCAUAAAUCAAUAUUCCUUUCCUUCUGGCUCCUUUUAUUUCUUACAUUGACUUUAUUAAUUUCUUAUUUGGAGGAAACAAAAUACAUCCCCCCAAAAUGCUCUUCAUUUCAAAUGAAGAAAUAUGAUCAUUAAUGUCAGAAUAAACAACCAGCAUUUUAGAUGUCAAUUAACUGUUUUUGCAUGUACACAGCAAUGUACAGCCCCUAAUAAAUCUUACAAUUAAAUGUGCAGCCCUUCAUUAGAGUGGAAAUAUGAACAGCUGUAAUCAUACACAUUCUAUUGACAGAGAAAAAUUUGGUUCCAUUUGUAAUUUUUCACAUUGGGAAAGAAUGAGAGACGGAUUGGGACCAUGAUUGCUUUUAUAACUGUGGGCUUUUUAAACUUCCCAUGUACAGGAUAACAAACCAGUGUCUUUGACUUGGGGGUCUAACAGCAGUGAUUUGCUUCUAUUUUCUUCUCUCAUGAAAGUAAAUUUCUCUUGGGAAACAUAUAAGCCUUUGGCUAGAAAACCCAUAGGACAAAUACCCCCAAAGUGAACCAAAUAACGAAUUGCUGCUUGCUUCGGUACAGCUGUUCAUGGCCGGGUUCUGUUAACUGAUGUCUGGGAUUGGCAUUAAAGUCAGUUGGGGAGGGGGGGAGAGUUGCUAAGAAUAUAAAGAGAAAGUUGAGACAUUCCGCAAAAACUGCUUCUGGCAACCAAACACACUGCUUCUAGCCACACAGGAGCCUUGCCAUAAUAGAAAUACUCUGAUCUCCUCAGGACAGCAUGGAGAAGCAGUUCUCGAGAGUUAGGCUUGAGAUAAUUCCAAUGAGAAAUGAAUGAUCAAGACUUGGGCUAGCAUUUGUCUGCCGGGCACUCAGAGUAGCUGACAGGGAUAAUAACGAGUAAGGAGUUGCAUAGCAGCGUAGCAAGCAUUAAAAACUGUCAUACUGCGCUCCGUGACUAUUGAACAUUGAUUCAAUUACCUUGCAUGGUCUCUGUAUAUGUAUUUCAAAAUAGAUGGGAGCCUCUAAAAUACCAUAUAUGUGAACAUACAUGUAUAUAUACAUACCGACACAUAGGUAUUUAUAUCUCUGUUAUCUAGAUCGUUCCUUAUACAAACAAAGAUUUAUGUUAAUGCAAGAUUUUGUGUCUACAGAAACCUUAGCUAGUGGUUGAAUUAUGAGAGGCCAGUUUAAGUUAAGGAUAUCAUUUAUACCUUUUGAAAAUUUACUGGAGAAUUGUCAAGGCAGUGCCUAACAGGGUAUUCAAAAUGUUUAUUUACAUUAGAAGCAAGGAACUCCCAUUCUUAAAAUUUAACAAGAAGCUUAACAAGGCUUGUUCUGGCAUGAAUAAGAUUCCAGAGACUUUUUUUAAACAGGAAAAUGAAAAUGUUUGCUACAUAAAUACUGUAACCGAAUUGUUCAAAACAUUACAUAUAGCUAUUUAGUGAGAUGGUGCAUUGUUCUAAACUAUUAUCAGAAACAAACUUCAGACAUGAAAAUCAAUUUCUUUUGUAAGGAGUGCAUUGAAAGAAAUGACAUGAAUUGAGAGAAAAUGCUUACAUUUUAAUUUUUUUUUUUUUUUUGAGGAAGAAAGAUCCCAGACACCAUCAUUCGGCUUCUUGACAGCUCGCAGGCAUCUAGAAAAUGCUCCACUUCCUGUCUUUAUGAAAUCCAUGAACGCUCUUUUAGUUGAACAACUGUGUCUCAAAGUACUUACAAACAAGGGGGGACUGAGCUCAAGUCGAUAUUCAACUGCUCAUUUGGCUCUUAUGUGUCAAGAACUCUUGCAAGUAAUUUAUGUGUAUUAAUUCAUCCAAUCUUGAUGAAGAGGAGCAGGCCCCGUUUUUAUCUCCAUCUUACAGAUGGGGAAAGUGUAGCUUUACUCAAAUGGUGGUUCCCCCUUGAGAUCAGAGAAUGGUAUAUGUGAGAAUCAGGACCUACAAUUCUGGAAAGACCUGCUACAUAAUUAGAUGAAGGGUGCGUCUCUCUAUGCCCAUUUUGGCUGUAGAAAGAGAUGAUGGUGCCUGUAAAAGCCCUAUGUGCGAGCUAAGCAACCUGUUUGAUAGGCCAUAAGAAGGGAGCAUUGCAGCCAAAUGAACAAAAACAAGCGGUAAUUUCUGCUCUUUUUGAACUUUGUGUAUUUAGAGAUGGCUGCUCUUGGUCCAUUGCAUAACGUGGGGCUCCUAAGACAGUGCCACAAAUCCUUAUGCAAACUUGCCCAUGAAGAGGGGAAGGGAAGUACAGGGUGCAUUCAUUUUAAAUCUGACCUUGUUCCAGCUCAUCGCUCUAUUCCUAGGCAACAAAAUUAGGUCCCUCUGGAGCACUUCGUUAUUUUCCUUAUUUACGCUAAUGUUAGCUCAGCUGUACCUUUGGAAAGAUGGCUGAAGGGAAAUUAAGCAGAGCAUAAGGGUCUUUUUCUUCCUCCUCUUUUUAAAUAACCAUUGUGAACCAUAACUUAGUGUGCCAAAGACUGGCUUGUGAGCCAUUGAAUUCACAAUGAAAAGAACGGUACUGACAGUUCAUAAUUAGUGUCUUCACCCUGUCUGCCAGAGCCCUCAGCAAAGGUGUGCCUGUACCCUGUCGGUUUGAGAGAAGGGGUGGGGGGGAGCCACCUUGUGGCUGGAAGACGAUCCAGCAGCCUGUAUGACCCUUGCUGGUUCUCAGCAGGCAGGGGAGGGGGGAUGAGCACAGCAGCCAGUGAUAAAUCAGAAAUAUCAAUCACUAAAUAUCUGUGGAAAGUGGUAAGAGUUAUAAAUAGAAUCUAUAACUACGAUAACACUGAAGCUGUAGUUGUAAAUAUACAUUAUCCUCUUUAAUAUGACACAGGAUAGAUUGAGAACUGAGGAAUUAUUAAGACCCCACC
rnacentral:lncRNA from 1 species